AGUCCAAGGAAGCAUACCGUGAAAUUCAUUUGCUCCCAGCCUUUCUGGGAACUCUUCUGGAAUGUCUGCUUAUUGCACAGACAAGAAGGAGGAGGAGGAGGUUCAGAAAUCUGGGGAAGCCUACUGCUGUAAAAGAGAAGAAAUUAGAGAAGGCCGUCUGUUGAGCCUGGGACAAGGACAACAGCAAGGGGGCCAGAGUCCAAAGAAGAGGAGAACCAUUGUGUGGAUGGUGGGGUGGGAGGGCAUGCAAGAAAGGAGGGUGAGGUCAUCGCUGUUAUGAAGAGACUGUUUCCUCCCCAUUUAUGUUUCCCAUUCAAGUGACCACAGGAUAUGUGACCAUUAACAAUGACCUUACUUUUUCAUGGCGCUUUACCCUUUGCAAAGGAUGGUCACAUCCAGAGCCUUGAACACUUGAACACUUGAACACUUGAACACUAAAAUGUUGAGGGACGUCUGGGUGGCUUAGUCAGUGAAGCUUCCGACUCGGGCUCAGGUCAUGAUCUCAUGGUUCAUGGGUUCGAACUCUGUGUUAGACUCUGUGCUGACAGCUUUGGAUUCUGUGUUUCUUCUCUCUCUUCCCCUCCCCCACUCAUGCUCUGUCUCUCAAAAAAAGUGUUAAAAUUUUUAAAUAAAUAAAUAAAUAAAGUGUUGAAGUCA
rnacentral:lncRNA from 1 species